rnacentral:rRNA from 1 species
AGUAAGGGGAGGAAAAGAAACUAACGAGGAUUACCUCAGUAACGGCGAGUGAAGCGGUAAGAGCUCAAAUUUGAAAGCUGGCUCCUUCGGGGUCCGCAUUGUAAUUUGCAGAGGAUGCUUCGGGAGCGGUCCCCAUCUAAGUGCCCUGGAACGGGACGUCAUAGAGGGUGAGAAUCCCGUAUGGGAUGGGGUGUCCGCGCCCGUGUGAAGCUCCUUCGACGAGUCGAGUUGUUUGGGAAUGCAGCUCAAAUUGGGUGGUAAAUUCCAUCUAAAGCUAAAUAUUGGCGAGAGACCGAUAGCGAACAAGUA